rnacentral:rRNA from 1 species
GCCUGCCCAGUGACUCUGUUCAACGGCCGCGGUAUCCUAACCGUGCGAAGGUAGCGUAAUCUUGUUCUUUAAAUGCGGACUAGUAUGAAUGGCACUACGAGGGUUAUACUGUCUCCUUUUUCUAAUCAGUGAAACUAAUUUUCCCGUGAAGAAGCGGGGAUAUAACUAUAAGACGAGAAGACCCUAUGGAGCUUUAAACAACCCAGCAAUUACUUCUAAAAUUAUAAAUUUCAGAAUAUCCACUUUUUAAGUUAUAUGUCUGCAAGUUUUUGGUUGGGGUGACCAUGGAGUAUAACAUAACCUCCAUAUUGAAUGAAUUCCCUUCUAAGCUAAAAAUUACCAAUUGAAGCAUCAACAUACUGACAUCUAUUGACCCAAUAUAUUUGAUCAACGAACCAAGUUACCCUAGGGAUAACAGCGCAAUCCACUUCAAGAGCCCCUAUCGACAAGUGGGUUUACGACCUCGAUGUUGGAUCAGGGUAUCCCAGUGGCGCAGCC